UACGGAGGGUGCAAGCGUUGUCCGGAUUUAUUGGGUUUAAAGGGUGCGUAGGCGGCUUUUUAAGUCAGUGGUGAAAGACAACAGCUCAACUGUUGCAGUGCCAUUGAUACUGAAGAGCUUGAGUACAGAUGAGGUAGGCGGAAUUUAUGGUGUAGCGGUGAAAUGCAUAGAUACCAUAAAGAACACCUAUUGCGAAGGCAGCUUACUAAGCUGUA
rnacentral:rRNA from 1 species